GCAGUGUUUGGAUGUUUGUAUUGAGCCUAGGCAUUGGGUAUUGGGGUAUUCACAACCCGAAUACCUCAAAUUGAAGCGUUUGGCUGUCCUUGGCAUUCGGGCUUGGUAUUCGGGCUCAAUAUUGACCGGCCCAAUUAACACUACACGAGACCCCUCCCGAAUGAAGAGCCUCUGGCCUCGACAUCUCCAGGUAUUCGAGCGAGCGGAGCUUCUUCUCUUCCCUAACCCGACCGCAACCUAACGACGAGGCCGCACAAACCAAAUCGAGCGGCGGAGCAGGUCCCCCAUCUUCACCCAGAUCUAACCGUGGGUCAGCGCCGCCUCCAAUCAUGUUUGACGUGUCCCCUUGUUAGGUGUUGCUGGUGAUGAGCGCGUGCUGCCGGCCAAACUCGUUGUCUCGUUGAGCUCGUCUAGCAUCCCCUUGCUAGCUGAAGUUUUGCUAGAUGCGUUCUUCUGUGUGUGCCAAAUUUCUUUUUGACCAACGCUGGUUGGUGUUGUUUACUGCUAGCUAGAUGUUUGCAAAUUUAUUUUUUGAAACAAGCUAGCUGAUGCAUCUAUUCUA